UUCGGGGAUUUAAAUUUUCCAACCUUAAAAUUAACGGCAAAUACUAACAAGUAAAUAAACAUGAUAAGACAAAGAGGGAAAGAGAUUUGGGCCCAAGUAUGGUUUUUCUGUCCGCCUGGACCAGUACUUGGGCCCAUUUCCAUUUUGGGCAUUUGGCCCAUUUGAGUCACCUGCACCUAUCCUAUACUAACGUAAAAUGAUAUUUUUCUUUGGGCCUUAGGCCCAAUUUUUCACUUGUCCUAGGCUUCUAACAAAAAAUAAGAAUAGCGACUAAAUGGGCUUAGUCCCAAUAGAUAACAAAAUACAAUUUUGGAAUCAAAAGUGGACCUUUGGCCCAAUAUUUUCAAUUCUCUAAUCUGCUCCAAUAUUUUUUCGACUCCGGGACCUGUACGUCAACUUUCAAGAUGGCUGACUCGAUGGAGGAGGAAUUUGAGCCUUUAUGGCUCUCACGAAAUAUGGGAUAAGGAAAUAGGAGUUCAUGGCGAACUCAAACAGAUUUACACAUGCAAAACAAAAAUAAGAAUAAGAUUAGUGCCCAAUAAUGAUAUCUUCAAACUGUAGCUUAAUGAUGAUUAACCCAAUCACAAAAUAAUAAAUGCAUCAAAGGGAAUUAGAACUUAACAUCUUGAGCUAAAGAAAAUAAAUUGAUGGAUUAGAUAAUUAGAGUGAAUAAGUGACAAAUUCCAAGAGGAAAAGAAGGCAAUUUUGAUCAGGCCAAAAUGAUUCAAUCAAACCCACAUGUUCUAUAAAUAGAGCAGUGAACAAAACCCACAUUUUCCAAGAAUUGAACAGACUAUUGGAACAUUAUUAUCAUCCGAGAAAAUCAAUGCUACGAUGGAAUUAGACAAACACACAAGUGGCUUCAUAUUUGUGAAAAUAGAAUCACUGCCAGAAGGCAAACCUUAGCACAAUAAAUUUAAUUAUCCUAGAUUAGCUACCACAUCCAUAACUAGAUAUUACAAUUUCAAAGAGGGGAAAUUGGCCAGUGAGCAUUACAAUCAAGCAUGUGCUAAUUUAAAGAAGGUAAAAAAAAAACAAAUAACACCAAACUUGAAAUCUCAUGGAAUUCAACAUAGUAUCCCACAAUCACUUGUUAAAAAAAAAUGCAACUACUUAGUAUUAAAUCAUAAAACUACACUCCAGUGAGUUCAACCAACUUGUAUGAAUGCUUGAGUUUACCAGGUCUUCUAGGAGAUAUUACAAAAGAUAAGUAAAUUCAAAGUUUAAAUUGAAAACACAAUAAUUUUCAUAUUCUUUAUAGCAAGCUUUCAUAUAACUAGCAGACUCAACUUUUAAAAGUAGUCGCUCAAAUCAAAUCAAAUACAACAGACAAGUGGUAUCUCAGUAUCGAAUCACUUGAAUUAGGCCACAGGCUAAUAUAAAAGAAAUUUGAUAUAACACUACGGAUAAAUCAAUAAAAGGAACUCUAUUGUAUUCUAGAACCAAAAUGCCAAGAUUUGAGCCUACUAGAGCUACAUAAUGGCAACGUAUGCGAAGAGAAUAUUAAAAGAACGAACCAAAUAUUGAAAAUUUCAUUACAACAUUCAAAGAGAAAAUAAUCACAAUUCUAAGCUGAAAUAGAAAAUAAAAGAACAAUUUGAGUAAAUAACAAGAAAGGGUGGAGGGAAUUACCCCUUUAUGAGCAGCGUUCUGGGACGACAAGCUUGAAAGGAUGCUUCCACCACCAAUCCCAGAAAAUUUCAACGGAAAACUCAGAUUCCAAAACAGGUGACCCAGAAAACUUUGGCAAUAUCAACACUAUUGACCUAAAAAUCUACCUUUAUUUUCCUUGUAUAUCUUUUGUAAAUUUUCGCUCCUUACUUAUAUAAAAAAAUUAUGUUCAAUAUUUCUCCUUCUUUAUUUAAUUUUUCAAACCCCCUUUUAACAGUGAACAACAAGCAAAUAUAUAUAGGGAGAGUAGGGUUCGGAAUGGGGGGAAACGGAUCAAAAAAUCCGGAUAGGAAUUGGACCCAAUCCAAAUUCAAAUUUAAAAAUCUUUCACUAAUUCGAUGAGGCACCCUUUCUCUGCAGAUUUAACCCAUUCCGGAAGUGGAAAUGGUGAGAUAGACGGCUGGAAUCAACUUACUCGUCCUUAGGCGCGACGUGGUUCCAUCCUAACGCCGCGAGUACGAUUCUGCUUGCUGCUCCAGUAGCUACUUUUGCCGAAAAUCUCGACUGGAACAGUACUGCGAGGAUAAAAGAAACGCAGUGUAUUGCUUUCCGUCUAUCUCCGUUUGGGACCGUUGGUGAAAAGUGGGCGUCGGAGCUUGACUUGUCGUCAUUUGAAGCUGUU
rnacentral:lncRNA from 1 species